rnacentral:misc_RNA from 1 species
UUUCCGUAGGUGAACCUGCGGAAGGAUCAUUAUUGUAUAACCGAGGUGCGAGGGCUGUCGCUGACCCGAAAGGUCGUGCACGCCCGAGUGCCCUCACACACAUCCAUCUUACCCCUAUGUGCACCACCGCGUGGGUCCCCCUUUGGCUUGUUCGGAGGGGGGCUUACGUUUUCACACAAACUUUGUAUGCAGUAUAGAAUGUAUUUUUUGUUUUUGCGAUCACGCAAUCAAUACAACUUUCAACAACGGAUCUCUUGGCUCUC